GACGAACGCUGGCGGCGUGCUUAACACAUGCAAGUCGAACGGUAAGGCCCUUCGGGGUACACGAGUGGCGAACGGGUGAGUAACACGUGGGUGAUCUGCCCUGCACUUCGGGAUAAGCCUGGGAAACUGGGUCUAAUACCGGAUAGGACCACUGCCUGCAUGGGUGGUGGUGGAAAGCUUUUGCGGUGUGGGAUGGGCCCGCGGCCUAUCAGCUGGUUGGUGGGGUGAUGGCAUACCAAGGCGACGACGGGUAGCCGGCCUGAGAGGGUGACCGGCCACACUGGGACUGAGAUACGGCCCAGACUCCUACGGGAGGCAGCAGUGGGGAAUAUUGCACAAUGGGCGCAAGCCUGAUGCAGCGACGCCGCGUGAGGGAUGACGGCCUUCGGGUUGUAAACCUCUUUCAGCACCGACGAAGCGCAAGUGACGGUAGGUGCAGAAGAAGGACCGGCCAACUACGUGCCAGCCGCCGCGGUAA
rnacentral:rRNA from 1 species